rnacentral:rRNA from 1 species
GAUCCUGGCUCAGAUUGAACGCUGGCGGCAGGCCUAACACAUGCAAGUCGAACGGUAGCACAGAGGAGCUUGCUCCUUGGGUGACGAGUGGCGGACGGGUGAGCAAUGUCUGGGAAACUGCCCGAUGGAGGGGGAUAACUACUGGAAACGGUAGCUAAUACCGCAUAACGUCGCAAGACCAAAGAGGGGGACCUUCGGGCCUCUUGCCAUCGGAUGUGCCCAGAUGGGAUUAGCUAGUAGGG